AAUAAAUUCAGUUUUCAGUUUUUCGAUACUAUGUUUGACUCUUCAUCGUAUUUGAAUUUUUUUACGAUUAAUAUUUAUAUUAUUACUAGAUGAUAAAAUAUGAAUAGUACUUCAUACGUGCCUAUUUUUUUAAGUUUUUCUAUAAUUUUUUUAAAUACAACGAAUGGUCAAAUAUUAAAUACAGAAAUU
rnacentral:pre_miRNA from 1 species